CUCCCUUCCUCCCGAUCUCACUCCGCCAAUCCCCUCUCUUCCUCCUGUCUCCCCAUGGCGCCGCCGCCCCUGCCUCCUCACCUCCCGUGGCCCGCCCUCCCCGCCGCGUCUCUUCUCUCCAUCGCCAGUCGCGGAAGCCGCUGCGCUCCUCUUCCUCCCUAGCCGCACCACGCGGGAGGGCAAGAAGUUGACCCGAGGUCACCAGCCUCCGAUCCGACGUGCGAGGCGCCCAGAGGCUGCCUCCGGUCAAAUACAGCCGCCUCCCGCGUCGUCAUCGUCCAGCACGAGUUUACCUCGCCGUCGUUCUCCUCCAAGCGUCCCGUGCGAGACGAGCCAGCCAGAUCCAUCGCAUCCAUCCCUGCUCGUCGGCAGCAGGUGGGGAUCCGCCUCGUGCAGCCCAACACGAGGAGGGACGGGACGGGAACGAGGCGACGGCGAGGUUUCUCUCGCUCUCACCCGUUCUUCUCCUUGCGCAUCCUAUCCCCGUCCUCACGCUGCCGCCUCCGUCCCUGUCGCCCUUCUCUAGAGGCGGCGGCUGGCGCUGGCGUCCAUGAAGGAAGGAUGGAGGAGCAGGCUCGAUUGGAAACACUAUAGCUCCAAUUCCUCCGCUCGUCUCUUCCUCCCUCCCUCUCCUCUCUUCCCACAUCUCCCAAAUCGGAAAGAGGACCAAAUACGAUUCUUUGUACGAAUCGACCGGUGGCGGGAACACACAACGCACAAGAGGUGGCGUCAUAGCUCCCUCUUCUUUGAUGGGCAUCCGUUCCAGCUCCAAUCCCAGCAGGGCAAUGACAUGGACCAUUCCAUUUGGAGAGGCUCAUGCUGCCCAGAUUUCGUUAAGCAAGCCAUCUAUGUCCCAAAGUUGAGGACCGUUUGGAGAAGAGGCCACCCAGGUUUUGCUGCCAUGCAUCCACGGGAUGGUUUGCCCAUUUUGAUUACACAUGUGGAAAGCGGGUGGCGCAUGUCAAGCUGCGGGAAGCUCAGGGCACGAUCAUUAGCUUCACCUGCAUCAAUGCAACUAUAAGUAUCUUUGAAUUUGUACUCUAUUGAAUACAAUCUCAAGUGUAUAUUUUCUUCUGACAUGUUUAUCUGCUGUCUUUUGUAAGAAUAAGAUCAAUAUCAGUAACAUGUUUAUCUAAUUCGGUUUGUGUGGUUUAAAUAUUUCAGUAUAACAAGCAUAAGAUCACGAAUCAUGUAUUUUGCAUAUCCAGCUGAUGAUGAUGAUGGCAACAAUGUUGACCUUUUUGGAAAGGAAACCGAAGAGGAGAAGAAGGUAGCUGAAGAGCAUGCUGCCGAAGUGAAGGGUUCUGGCAAGAAGAAAGAAUGUCAAGGCAGACUUGAAAUGUGGCCACCUUUGUCUGGCCAAUGGUUUUGUAGACUUUCAGUAUCCGGCGUCCGCCGCCGGUUUUGUUCCAGCUCAACCAGGAUCUUCUCGGCCCUGCUCUAAUGUUGUGAAAACUCAUGCAUGACGACGGACGCCUCCAUGCUCCAGCUGCCGCAGCCUGCAGAUCAUGGUCUUCUUAUUAAGAUCAAGGGGUGUUGAAAAGAAAAUUCUUAUGUGGAUUCGUGCACUGUGCGUACAUAGGGUAGUACUUUUGAUAUUUAUGGACUACAUUGCUCCUCUCUUGAGUGGUCUAUGUGGGCUUGCCCCCCUGUCUAGAGGUGAGUUCAGCAUUUGACAAACUCGAAUUGUGUGCUUCCAUAAUCGAUAGUCCUAAAUACUAAUAUAGAUAUUCUGCUUUAUAUUGAAUAUUGAUGGUUUUUAUUUAACCAUAUUCUACUUUGUAUUGUACUUUGAUGAUUUGCAUUGGAUUACAUGCUUCCCUGAUAAAUACCAGACGCUGGAUUAUUGAAUCACCACUUUAGAUAUGCGCUUUGUGCCGGCUAUGUUGAGCAUUAUGUGCCAUUUUGUGGUAAUGACUACAUAUGUCAUGUUUGCCAUACUUUUGGUAUAUAUAUGAUGCCUUGCCCUUUGGCAAUGCCGUGUUUUUGGUGUAAAUUUAGUGUACUGGCCUAAUCCAUUCUGAGCAAUCACUUUAAUUCCCUUUGGUAACAGAGAAUGUUUUCUUUAAGCUCUUGAUAAAUCUUUGUAUUGUUUGUGAUAUAUACUUAACACAUUUAUUCUGAGUGGUUAUUUUAAUUU